rnacentral:rRNA from 1 species
AUCAACGCUGGCGGCGCGCUUAACACAUGCAAGUCGCACGAGAAAAGCAGGAGCAAUCUUGUGGAGUACAGUGGCGUACGGGUGAGUAACUCGUGGAUCAUCUACCUUCUAGUGGGGAAUACCCCCGGGAAAACUGGGGGACAAUUACCCGCAUAAGCUCGUGAGAGGGAAAAGCAGCAAUGCGCUGGGAAGAGGAGUCCGCGGCUGAUUAGCUAGAUGGCGGGGGUAACGGGCCCACCAUGGCGAAGAUCGGUAGCCGGCCCUGAGAGGGCACACGGCCACAACUGGCACUGAAACACGGGCCAGACUCCUACGGGAGGCAGCAGUGGGGAAUCUUGCACAAUGGAGGAAACUCUGAUGCAGCGGACGCCGCCGCGUGAGCGAUGAAGCCCUUCGGGGUGUAAAGCUCUUUCGACGGGAACGAUAAUGACGGUACCCGAAGAAGAAGCUGCGGCUAACUACGUGCCAGCAGCCGCGGUAAUACGUAGGCAGCAAGCGUUGUUUCGGAAUUACUGGGCGUAAAGAGUGUGUAGGCGGUGCUCUAAGUCUGUCGUGAAAUCUCCCGGCUCAACUGGGAGGGUGCGGCGGAAACUGGAGUGCUCGAGGAUGGGAGAGGGUAAGCGGAAUUCCUGGUUGUAGCGGUGAAAUGCGUAGAUAUCAGGAGGAACACCUGUGGUGUAGACAGCUUACUGGACCAUUUCUGACGCUGAGACACGAAAAGCGUGGGUAGCAAACAGGAUUAGAUAACCCUGGUAGUCCACGCCCCUAAACGAUGCAUACUUGGUGUGAGCGAUUCAUUUUCGUUUCGUGCCGGAGCUAACGCGUUAAGUAUGCCGCCUGGGGAGUACGGUCGCAAGGGCUGAAAACUCAAAGGAAUUGACGGGGGGCCCGCCACAAGCGGUGGAGCAUGUGGUUUUCAAUUCGACGCAAACGCGAAGAAACCUUACCUGGGCUCGAAACGGCUAUGGACCAUUCCUGGAAAACAGGGACUUCUCGCAAGAGACUGUAGUCGAGGUGCUGCAUGGCUGUCGUCAGCUCGUGUCGUGAGAUGUUUGGGUUAAGUCCCGCAACGAGCGCAACCCUUGUCCUGUGUUGCCAUCAUUUAGUUGGGCACUCUCAGGAGACCGCCAGCGAUAAGCUGGAGGAAGGUGGGGAUGAUGUCAAGUCAUCAUGGCCUUUAUGUCCAGGGCUACAACACGUGCUACAAUGGCCGGUACAAAGCGCUGCAAAACUCGCAAGAGGGAGCUAAUCGCAAAAAAAACCGGUCUCAGUUCGGAUCGCAGGCUGCAACUCGCCUGCGUGAAGCUGGAAUCGCUAGUAAUGCCGUAUCAGAACGAUGGCGUGAAAUACGUUUCCCGGGCCUUGUACACAACCGCCCCGUCACAUCACGAAAGUGGAUUGUACUAGAAGUUCCCCUUAAAGGACCCAAGGUUAUGAUUCAUGAUUGGGGGU